CUAAGGCCUCAUGCCUAUAAUCUUGGCUACUCAAGAGGCUGAGAUUUGAGAGCUGAGGUUCAGUGCCACCUGGCCAUACAAACUUUGGAGACUCUUAACUCCAUUUAACCAGCAAAAAGAAAGUUGUACGAUUCUAAUGGUAGAACAUCAGUCAUAAGUGAAAAGGCCGAGCAAGAGAGAAAGACCCUGAGUUCAAGCCUCAGUACCAACAUAACACAGACAAACAAAUUAGAGAAUAUUUUGCUGCUCACCAGAUGAGACUUUGGUCAAAGUAUACAUAAUGACAGGACAUGAGACUUUAUUCA